CUUCAGUGUCUGUUUGGAGUGACUCAUAAUAGUCAUAAUCUGCUAAAAACAUAAUCUGUUUAAAAAAAAACAAAUAAAAUUUAGAAAAACUUGACUUUGGGCAUUUGGCCUUAGCUGUCUACAGUUCAUGGAUAAUCUUUCCUGUGUUACUUUAUAACUUUAAUCCCCACCUUUGCCCUCCAUAUAUUGUCUACAAGUAAAACAACAGCCUGUAAAAAGGCUGCCUUUUUAUUCAGAUUAAUAACAUCCUAAAUCAUGGUCCUCUUCUCAGCAUUUUAUUUCAGACUACAGGAUUCCAAAAACUUUUGUAACUAACACAUCAGGAACGGUAAUACCUGGAAACUCCCCUUACAGUUUGUCAAAGGUAAUUUUCUAUGCUCUGAGUGAAUCAACUCUUGUAAAUUAGGUAUUUCUCCACUUACAUCACAGUUCUCUGGCAGGUAUCUAUACCCAUUGGAAAUUAUGCAGAUUCUCAACUUUUCUUUGAACAAAAAUGUCCUGGAAUGGAAAAUUCACCAUUUUAUUUCCUUACAAUAGAACUAUGCUCGAAGGGAAACACCACCUGUUCCUAGCAGAUGGUAAAUUAGCAUUGAAAAAGAUCACCUGUACUGGAAACCCCCCCUAUUUUCUAAUUCUACCACCAGGAGGUAAAUCAGCACUCAGUGCCUAUUCAUCACCCUUACAAGAAUUGUGCCAAGCCUGUGUCAUAGCAAAAUGGAUUUGGAGAAGGACUUGCAUCCUGCUAUGCUCUGACAUCUACCCAGUUCUAUGA
rnacentral:lncRNA from 1 species